rnacentral:rRNA from 1 species
UACAUGGGGGUGCAAACGUUGCUCGGAAUCAUUGGGCGUAAAGCGCGCGUAGGCGGUUGCUUAAGUCGGAUGUGAAAAGCCCUCGGCUUAACUGAGGAAGUGCAUCCGAAACUGAGCAGCUAGAGUACGAAAGAGGGUCGCGGAAUUCCCGGUGUAGAGGUGAAAUUCGUAGAUAUCGGGGAGGAAACACCGGUGGCGAAGGCGGCUCUCUGGACCGAGACUGACGCUGAGGCGCGAAAAGCGUGGGGGAGCAAACAGG